AAACGUAGGAGGCGAGCGUUAUCCGGAUUUACUGGGUGUAAAGCGCGUGUAGGCGGUCCUGCAAGUGGUGCGUGAAAGCGCCCGGCUCAACCGGGCGAGGACGUGGGCGAACUGCAGGGCUAGAGGCAGGUAGAGGCGUGUGGAAUUCCGGGUGUAGUGGUGAAAUGCGUAGAGAUCCGGAGGAACACCAGUGGCGAAGGCGACACGCUGGGCCUGGCCUGACGCUGAGAGGCGAAAGCAUGGGGAGCGAACGGGAUUAGAAACCCCGGUAGUCCAUGCCGUAAACGAUGCUGACUAGGUGUGGCGGGUAUGAACUCCUGCCGUGCCGGAGCCAACGUGGUAAGUCAGCCACCUGGGGACUACGGCCGCAAGGUUAAA
rnacentral:rRNA from 1 species